CCUACGGGUGGCAGCAGUAAGGAAUAUUGGUCAAUGGACGGAAGUCUGAACCAGCCAUCCCGCGUGCAGGAAGAAGGUCCUAUGGAUUGUAAACUGCUUUUAGCAGAGACGAAACGCCUUCAUUUAUGGGGGUUUGACGGUAUCUGCGGAAUAAGCACCGGCUAACUCCGUGCCAGCAGCCGCGGUAAUACGGAGGGUGCAAGCGUUAUCCGGAUUCACUGGGUUGAAGGGGGGGGAUGACGGGAGAGUAGAAAGCCUGUAGCUUAACUACAGAAGUGCCAUUGAUACUGAUGUUCUGGAAUUGGGUUGAGGUUAGCGGAAUGUGACAGGUAACGGUGAAAUGUUUAGAUAUGGCAUGGAACACCGAUUGCGAAGGCAGCUAGCUGGGCCUGGAUUGACGCUGAGGCACGAAAGCGUGGGUAGCGAACAGGAUUAGAUACCCCAGUAGUC
rnacentral:rRNA from 1 species